AAGCGAAACGGGGGAGGCGCCGGAAGCGGCCCCUGUCGUCCGGAAGCGGCGUUCCGGGCCUGAAGAGCAAGCCGAAG
rnacentral:hammerhead_ribozyme from 1 species